AGCAGCAUGGCGCAGUCUGGAAGCGCGCGGGGCCCAUAUGUGCAGAUGGUUUCUUAUCAUCAAUUGAGCCACCCCGAGGUCACUCGAUCGAAACGAGUUGCUGCUA